rnacentral:rRNA from 1 species
GAAAUCCUGUGGCGAGAGGAUUCAGUCUGGCUCUGUGGACCUGCGGUGGGAAAACUCGGGUAGGGCUUCCCGUGACUGGGGCCGUCCCAUUGCAGGGCUUCCGCUGUUCCAGACGCAUUUGUCUCUCGUCCGAAGGACGCUGCAGCCGGUUUGGAAGUGCAAGCGCGACGGCCUGAAGGUCGGGUAAUGGCAGGUGGCCGGCGGCUCGCCUCGUGUGGGUUGUCGGUUGUUAGCCGUCCCGUCAGUGGCUCGUCUCCAGACCGAGGUGUCGCGAGUCCCGUCAGGGACUCUUCGUCUCCACCCCAGAGUUGCGAGACUGGUCGUGGCAAGGGCUCCGUAUUCCCACCGUCGCACUACUAAGGAGUGGGCGGAGGGCUGCGGGUCCCCGUUGGCUGCGACGGACUCGUAGGGGACUUGAGGCUCGCAGCGAGUAGGUCGGUCACCCACCCGACCCGUCUUGAAACACGGACCAAGGAGUCUAACAUGUGCGCGAGUCAAUGGGUCUUGAAUAGGCCCAGGGGCGCAAUGAAAGCGAAGGACUGCCCAGCGCAGUCUGAGUGGGGAUCCCUCUCUCUCGGGAGGGGGCG